AUUGAACGCUGGCGGCAUGCUUUACACAUGCAAGUCGAACGGUAACAGGGUGCUUGCACCGCUGACGAGUGGCGAACGGGUGAGUAAUGCGUCGGAACGUGCCGAGUAGUGGGGGAUAACGCAGCGAAAGUUGUGCUAAUACCGCAUACGUACUGAGGUAGAAAGUGGGGGACCUUCGGGCCUCACGCUAUUCGAGCGGCCGACGUCUGAUUAGCUAGUAGGUGAGGUAAAGGCUCACCUAGGCGACGAUCUGUAGCGGGUCUGUGAGGAUGAUCCGCAACACUGGGACUGGGACACGGCCAAGACUCCUACGGGAGGCAGCAGUGGGGAAUAUUGGACAAUGGGGGAAACCCUGAUCCAGCCAUGCCGCGUGUGUGAAGAAGGCCUUAUGGUUGUAAAGCACUUUAAGCGAGGAGGAGGCUACUGAGACUAAUACUCUUGGAUAGUGGACGUUACUCACAGAAUAAGCACCGGCUAACUCUGUGCCAGCCGCCGCCGUAA
rnacentral:rRNA from 1 species